GGAGACUGUAUUUCAAAUAGGUGAUAUACCAGUUGCAAAAAAAUAGGAUAUAAUAGCAAUUUAAUAGUGCACAAAGAGAGAGCAAAGUGUGCAAAGGAUCGGGGCAGAAAUAUGGGAAUAGCAGCAGCAGGAAAAACAAUAGCAAAAAUAUGAGAAUAGCUGCAGUAAUGUGAGAACAGUAAUAAUAAUUAUAGAACAUCAGCAGUAACAGAUCCAAAUAGAACCUAACAGUGCAAAGUAACCAAUCAAGUUACUCAAUCUUGACUGUUAGCCGAUUGAGUGUUCAAAGAAAGGAAUAAAAGAGUAUAGCAAUAGCAGAGAAAAGGAGAGUUCAAAGAGUUUUGGUUGUGAGCAUUGU
rnacentral:lncRNA from 1 species